AGAGUUUGAUCCUGGCUUAGGAUGAACGCUAGCGGCAGGCUUAACACAUGCAAGUCGAGGGGCAGCGGGAUGUAGCAAUACAUUGCCGGCGACCGGCGGAUGGGUGCGUAACGCGUAUGCAACCUACCUUAUACAGGGGAAUAACCUUUCGAAAGGGAGACUAACACCCCAUAGUAUUGAUUUAAGGCAUCUUAGAUUAAUUAAAUAUUUAUAGGUAUAAGAUGGGCAUGCGUAUGAUUAGCUAGUUGGUAAGGUAACGGCUUACCAAGGCGACGAUCAUUAGGGGUUCUGAGAGGAAGGUCCCCCACACUGGUACUGAGACACGGACCAGACUCCUACGGGAGGCAGCAGUGAGGAAUAUUGGUCAAUGGGCGCAAGCCUGAACCAGCCAUGCCGCGUGCAGGAAGACGGCCUUAUGGGUUGUAAACUGCUUUUACAUAAGACUAACCGUAUAUUUGCGAAUAUACCUGAAUGUAUUAUGAGAAUAAGGAUCGGCUAACUCCGUGCCAGCCGCCGC
rnacentral:rRNA from 1 species